GGGGAUGUCGGGAUUCGACAGAUGGGGGAAGGGAACGUUUGCAGGUCGAGGCGCCAGAAGCAAUUCCUCGUUAAUCACUGGCAAAAAAGAAUAGCUGCCAACAACCGGCCAGCUCUCGCUCUCGCGGCCUAAGAACCGCUGAAGCGCAUCCGUCUGACCUCAGCCUGAUG
rnacentral:tmRNA from 1 species